GCUUGUAGCUCAGCUAGGUAGAGCGUUCGACUCUUAAUCGAAUGGUCUGGGGUUCGAAUCCCCUCAAG
rnacentral:tRNA from 1 species